rnacentral:sRNA from 1 species
CAUAGGAUGGCCCUUGAGUAUCUUCAUUCAAAGUGACAAGGGUCAGCAUUCUUAUAUGCCUAGAGAAGUUGUAUCAGUUCUAAUUAUGACAACUGGUUCAUUUCGGAAGUACUAGAGGGAAAAGCAUCCGUCACAGCAGGGAGGCAUGGUUGACAGUGGCAGGCCCUGAAGACAAGAGCUGAAAGUUAAGAGAUCCUAUCUCCAGCUGCAAGAAGGGAGCAAGAGAAGAAACUAGAAGUAGGCCAAGACUAUACACUUUCAAAGCCUGCCCCAAUGAUGCACUUCCUCCAGAAAGGCUGUUCCCGCCCCCAACCCCCAGUUUUUUCUGAUAGACCACCCAUUGAAAAACAAGAGUCCAAAUAUCUGAGCCUAUGAGGGGCGUUUCUUAUUUAAACCAGCACAUCUACACUUACUGUAGUUAGAAUGCGAAGACCCUUACAUGUCUUCCUUUCAAAGGGUCGAAAUGCUCUUGUUACUAAUGAGACUUACUAUUCUGAAGUUGUUUUUAUCAUGAUUGGAUGGCUAGAGGAAGUCUUUUAUCUUACAGAGGAUCAGGCGAACGUACCCGUACCUUUCUCAGCUCACUCAUUUUUAGGAGAUCGACCACUGUGGUUCUAUAUUGAAGCCACAUGGUGGUCUCACAGAGUAAGUCUGAGAAGCACUAGGCAGGCAGUUUUCAAACUGUACUCAAAAGAUCAGUGAACAGCUAGAGUUCGUCUUUGAAGAUAAUGGAAAAAGGGCACCCAGAGUAAGCUUAUGAUUUGGUGCUAUAUUUAUGCAACUGGUUUCUUCAUGUAUUUCCUGCCAUCUUCAAGUGGUUCACUUGGAUUUCUGUAUUGUUUUCACUUUGGAUCUCUAAAUACAGUUAUAUGGGCCCACCAACCAACUCAAUAGGUUGUGAUUGUAUUUAUGUAAUAAUAAUUAUAGAAAAGAAGGUCAUGAAUUAGAGAUAAAGUAUAAGGGAACGUGAAAGAAAUUGGACGGGGAUGGCUAAGGUAUGUGUGUUAUGCAUGCACAAUACUCAUGCAGGAAACUCUCAGAAAACAUAAAGAAAAAUGGUCAGUGUAUGUGUAAAACUGCUCUGUCUCACUAAUAA